AUUUGAAAUUAUAACAUUUUUGCAUUAUUAUAUAUUGUUAUUACAUAUUAUACAUUAUUUUAUUUUUUAGAUUCAUAAAUAUUAAAUAUAAAAGAUCAAGAAGACAGCAAAAGAUUAUAAAGCAAAAGAUUUGAUUCACUCUACACAUUAGGUUACACUGCAUUUAUUCUACUACUACAUAAUCUGUAAUUUUUCUACCAUUUUUUGUAAUUUCUUUCCAAACGUACAAUUUUAGAUUUUACUAUUUUUUUACCAUUACUGUAUAUUAUUACAAAACUGAGCAUUUUUAUGCAUUUAUGGAAAAUUUGAAGAUACAAAAAUGCAUAUAAUAUAUAUUAUAUGUAAAGAUAUGUGAAAUUAUUCAAAAUUUGUACAUAUUAAAUAUUAAAUAUGAAGAAUUGAAAAAAUACAGAAGGAUUGUAAAGCAAGAGAUUUUUCAAUUGAUGGAAGAUGUAGACAGAUGGAAGUACUAUAAAUUCCGGACGAAUAACGGCACCGUUUCUAGUGAAUGCAAAGGCAUUUCAACGCCUGUUUUGAACAGACGAAAAUAUCACUAGCCAAGAAGAUUGUACUUUGUACUUUUAGAUCGAAACUUGUACUUUAGAAGAAACUUGUACAUUUCAUGAAGCGGACUCACUGGUUCAAAGUCGCAAAACCUUUAUCAGUACUUGAAACUGUUAUGACUAUGACACAAUGCUUCUUGGAGUUCCAUUAUCGUUUGAGAGAAAUCAACAUUAUUUAUAUUUCAAAGAGCAAGUUGCGUUAAAUGUGUUACAUAAAAGUUCUGGACCUACGAUAUUUUUUACAAGCAUAUUUUUAAAAAAUCAAGAAACAAAUUUCAUUCUCUGACAAAAUCUAACAUCUAAGUACUUUCUAAUGAAGAACAGUACUCAAUCGAUCUUGAGAAGCUAUUUUUUUCAAAAUUUCUUAUGAUUAUAUUCGUUCUAAAAUUAACAUAGUCUUGUCCUGCAACAGGCAAUAAGAAAUAUACACAAGUGCGAUAAGACAAAAAGAACAGAAUGGAAGAAAUUACAGAUUCAAGAAGGAUGAGAAGGCACAGAUAUAGCGUAUAUCAGUGGCUCCAAGAGAACGUUUCAAGGGAUACGUUCCAACGGUGGGUCAGCAUCGACAAGGCUGUGUAUAGGUCCUUAUAUGGUAGCCAGCCGUAUGGCUGUAUAUAGAGAGAGCUCGAAAGAGGCUGAAUACGCAACUGUGAAACACAUUCGUGUCCUUUACGUAUCCGCUUGUUGAAUAUUUCUUCUCUCCCUAUCGUCGGUACACGUGUAGGAGUCUUGCAUCGAGUGCACGCAUACGAAAGCACCCACUGGCCUGCGUUAUGCGUAACGGUAACAAAAGAAGAGGAGAUUGCUUUAGUUGUACGAUUAACAUCUUUGAGUAUGUCCAAUACAUACAAAUUAAUCUUCUCAAGGUUAAUUUCAUUUUUCAAAAAUGUAUAUAACUUCAUGAAACAGAACAAGCCUUUAUAUAUAAUAAAGAAUCUCAUAGUAAUGUCAAAA